CAUGCAGCCGAGCGGUAGAGAUCUUUCGGGAUCUUGAGAGCGGCGUACGGGUGCGGAACACGUGUGCAACCUGCCUUUAUCUGGGGGAUAGCCUUUCGAAAGGAAGAUUAAUACCCCAUAAUAUACUGAAUGGCAUCAUUCGGUAUUGAAAACUCCGGUGGAUAGAGAUGGGCACGCGCAAGAUUAGAUAGUUGGUGAGGUAACGGCUCACCAAGUCUACGAUCUUUAGGGGGCCUGAGAGGGUGAUCCCCCACACUGGUACUGAGACACGGACCAGACUCCUACGGGAGGCAGCAGUGAGGAAUAUUGGACAAUGGGUGAGAGCCUGAUCCAGCCAUCCCGCGUGAAGGACGACGGCCCUAUGGGUUGUAAACUUCUUUUGUAUAGGGAUAAACCUACCCUCGUGAGGGUAGCUGAAGGUACUAUACGAAUAAGCACCGGCUAACUCCGUGCCAGCAGCCGCGGUAAUACGGAGGGUGCAAGCGUUAUCCGGAUUUAUUGGGUUUAAAGGGUCCGUAGGCGGAUCUGUAAGUCAGUGGUGAAAUCUCACAGCUUAACUGUGAAACUGCCAUUGAUACUGCAGGUCUUGAGUGUUGUUGAAGUAGCUGGAAUAAGUAGUGUAGCGGUGAAAUGCAUAGAUAUUACUUAGAACACCAAUUGCGAAGGCAGGUUACUAAGCAACAACUGACGCUGAUGGACGAAAGCGUGGGGAGCGAACAGGAUUAGAUACCCUGGUAGUCCACGCCGUAAACGAUGCUAACUCGUUUUUGGAAUGUAAGUUUCAGAGACUAAGCGAAAGUGAUAAGUUAGCCACCUGGGGAGUACGAACGCAAGUUUGAAACUCAAAGGAAUUGACGGGGGCCCGCACAAGCGGUGGAUUAUGUGGUUUAAUUCGAUGAUACGCGAGGAACCUUACCAAGGCUUAAAUGGGAAAUGACAGGUUUAGAAAUAGACUUUUCUUCGGACAUUUUUCAAGGUGCUGCAUGGUUGUCGUCAGCUCGUGCCGUGAGGUGUUAGGUUAAGUCCUGCAACGAGCGCAACCCCUGUCACUAGUUGCCAUCAUUAAGUUGGGGACUCUAGUGAGACUGCCUACGCAAGUAGAGAGGAAGGUGGGGAUGACGUCAAAUCAUCACGGCCCUUACGCCUUGGGCCACACACGUAAUACAAUGGCCGGUACAGAGGGCAGCUACACUGCGAAGUGAUGCAAAUCUCGAAAGCCGGUCUCAGUUCGGAUUGGAGUCUGCAACUCGACUCUAUGAAGCUGGAAUCGCUAGUAAUCGCGCAUCAGCCAUGGCGCGGUGAAUACGUUCCCGGGCCUUGUACACACCGCCCGUCAAGCCAUGGAAGUCUGGGGUACCUGAAGUCGGUGACCGUAACAGGAGCUGC
rnacentral:rRNA from 1 species